UGUCUUAGUUUGAAAUUUGACAUACAAAAUAGUCAAUACUAGAAUCGAUCUUUUGACAAAAUUUAAUUUGAUUUUUUUUAAAGUUUCAGUAGAAAGAAAGUAAUGAAUGAUGGGAUUAGACACUUCUUUGAGCUGUUGUAUAUCAAAAAAUAGGAGUUGUGUAUGUUGGCAGUGGAGUAAGGGUGGAGACAAUGAGCCAGAUUCUGCUCUGAUUUAAACUACUGUAAAUCCAGAGAAACACCCUGUUUUAAUGGAUUUUUCUUCAGAUUUACAAUGAGGUAACUGCUAGCAGAAUUUCACCCCUACUGUACAUUUUAAAAGUGGCUAUUGAAUAUGUGCAUUUUCCACUUUGCAGAAGAAUUUUACUACAGCUAAAUAAUACAGAUCUACAUCUUAAGAUGAAUGUUCUGAACAUACCGUAAUGGUGACAUAUGGUUGUAUGCAUAUUAAUAGUAUUGGAACUAUAUUAUUCUUGGGAAAUAAACUAUAAUUGGCCCAAUGGCAUUUUAUAUUUAAAGCAGCCAAUAGUAUGUACUUUAAUUUUGUAUUAACAGCAAGACAAUUGUGAGCUAAUCUAUCUUGUGAACUCUUAAAUACUUUCUUGAUACUUUUAUUCUUUUCUUUUUUAGGGCCUUAAUCUGCAAACACUUAUACACAUGCUUAGCUUUAUUCAUAUGAGUAUGGGAUGACUCACGUGAGUAAAGAUACUUCAGUAUUUGCAAGAUCAGGCCCUUAAACACUGCUUAAUAAAAGAACAAAAUUCCCUUAAUUUAAUAUUUAUGCUAGGACUGACUUUUCAAAACAGGGAUCCAAUCCAACUCUUCCCAGGCAAACUCUCACUGGGAGUUUUGUGCAAGUGAUAUCUGCAAGAUUGGCCUAAAUAGCACCUACUUAACUGUACAUACACCAAUUGUCCAUGCAAAAUUGGCUUUCCUUUGUGCAAAAGGGGUAAUUGUUUAUGUAAAUGAUUCAGACUUUGUGUGUAUGUGCGCAAGCGCGCCCAUGUGUGAGAGGUGCAGUUUAUGGGCCUGAUUUUCAGCAGUAGCUGAGUAGCCAUAUCAAUUGACAUUGAUGGAAAUUUUUUAUUCUAGAAAUCAGGCUCUAUUUGAGCAGGUUUGGACAAUAAUGUAGUAAAGUCUGAGAUUUAUCAAACAGAGCUUCGUCUGAAAUUCCUUUCUUUCUCUCUGUUGUCCCAGGAGCACAGGGGUCUCCAAAUGGGAGGUAACUACUCAGCUCUAAUGCAGUAAAAUCACUCAUACUUCGGAGACUCCUUAAGCUACCACAGCAAAAACAGGGACCUCAGUUCAACAUCAAGCUGCUGGAACUCUGACCCCUCUGCACACCUGUGAUGAGCAGAGGCAUCGCCGGGAACCCCUAGAUGAAUGAAUCCUGACUGGCCAGCAGGAGAAAUAUGUCUGUAUAUUGGGAGUGACCUCAGGCCUUGCCCUAGGCCCGUGCACACUCGCUCUCUCCCUCCUAUACCCUUAUCAUCAAGCUUCCAGUGGCCUAGCAGAGGGAGCAGUAAGGACUUUUAACGAGGGGAUGAAGAUGAUGGAAGCUUGGAAACAAAGCUGGGUUGCUUCCUUUAGCAAUACAAAACCACUCCUCAAACUACAACAGGCAUUAGCUCAUCCCAUUGUUUGAUGGGGAGGAAGAUAAGAAUUCAUUUGGACUCAAUCCAUCACAGCAUGGGGGGAAGUGUUGAGGAAGCAAGCUUUUCAAAAACAUAACCUUGACAGAGCUUGACCCAACGGACCUAUACCAAAAGUUUCAGCACUCCGCAGCCACUGGGGAUUCAGCCCACAGGAAGGAGGAGGCUCAUGAGGCAGCAGCUGACUUGCAAGCCCAUGGAAACUGCUGAAAGUGAGCAACAUCCAGAGGCACGGUCUUUGGCACAGCCCUGGGACGUUCUGGAAAGUUCCUGCUAUCCAGGCCUCUGACAGCCAUGAAUCCUGCUGUCAUUCUGUGAAAGGACCAACCUCACUUUUAUCCUUCAAAGGUUUAGGUGGAAACUCCUUGACUUGAAACUCAUGGAGGUUCGCAAUCUCCUACCCUGCAAAAGGGAUGAUCUGGCUGAGCUGUGAGCAGUAACUUUCGCAAUACCAAGAUGUGCCCUUGAGGGUCAGCUCCUACACACUGGUGGAGUGACUCUGUCAGAUAAGGAGGUGAACAAGGAGGAGUAAGGAGGACCUGUUUCCAAAAGUGCUUCAAUUGUCUGUCUGAUCAUGUGGCUAGCAAGUACAGAGCAGGGAGUGAGAAAAACUACAAUGGAUAGUCAGGAGAGGAUUAAGGGGCAGGAGAGAUGAUAAAGCUCAUGGAGGACACAUCAGAGAUGCUCAGGUCCCUGACUGCACUACAGUCGGAACAUAUCCCUACUUGACUCCUCCUACAACCCAUACAGACCUGCGUUCCAUACCCUCCAUUCCACACAUGUUCCUGACCUGUUGCAGUACCCCCUGUACUCUAUCCCUAGAGACAUGUUCCAUAAUGACAGCUGGAUUAACACACAGCUGU